ensembl:lncRNA
GGUGGUGACAGGGCCACCUGUGGGCUGGUGAGGGGUUUAAAGAGACAGUCUGCAGCUGCAACAGGAGCCCUGGCUAUUGUCUCCGCACCUGAGAGCGGGGAAACCUGCAGCCCCCGAACCACCCAUCCACCCAUCCAUCCAUCCACCCACCCAUCCAUCCACCCACCCACCGCAUCCCAUCCCGUCCGUCUCACCUCAUCCCUGCAUCCCCUGCCUCCAGCACUGCAGCUCUCCCGGGACCGGGGUGUCCCGAGCUGGGUCCCGUAUCCCUUCCCUGUAGCGGCUCCUCCAAGACCCACCCAAGGCUCAGGAUGUUGCUGUGUGCCGGAGCGACGGCUCCCUCUGGUCAAACACAGAGAGGGGAUGAAGGUGCCAGCUUCGAUCAAACCCUUGGCAUGCUUCCUGAACUGUGCCCAAGCCACAGGCAGGAAAGAAACCUCUCUCGGGCUCUGGCACGCUCUGCCUUCAUCUCAGCUCAUCUGCCACAUCUGAAAUAUGAUUUCUACCAUCUGGUGCCCAACUCUUCAUCCCCAGCAUGGCCCCAGGACCCUGGAGAGGUGAGUAGCAUCCCUGUUCAACACAAGGCUUUUACCAAAGGGGGAAAUAUCUACUGUGGGAGAACCAUCUGCUGAGGAUCCAGGGUCAGUGGGAUCACAGGAUGCCACAGCACACUUUCAAAGUUAUUUCGACUUGUCUUUCAAAGAUAUUUUGACUUUUUUUCACCUCCAUCUUUGCAUAUGGGGUAGGGAGAAAAAAUGAUAGCACUGUUCCCUUGCAUCCUGGACUGUCUGUUUUCUCAAGUCUGGUCACUUUGGAAAACUGGGGAAAGCUUUUCACUGCCUCCCCACAUGCCCUAAUUUCUUCUGUUGAGGUUUCUUUGUCAUUGUGAGGGCACAGCUAAAACUUUGCAAUCUAAAAGGGAAUGCAAACUAUACAUUCUGGAAAGGAAAGAAGGAAGAUGGAUGGGUUUGUCGUGGACAAACCAAGAGUGAUCAGACCACAGGCGGAACAGCAAUGUGUCCAGGGAGAAGCUCUCAGCCAGGCACUUGAAUCUCUCAUCAUAUAAUGCAGAGUGUGAGGCAGAAAAGCAGGCAGUGACACUGCCUCCUUAUCCACCCAGAGCUGGAGGAAAAAUGCAAACCCGUGUCCCUCACAGCAAGGCUCGAGUUUGCUCCCACUUGUGUGGUGAUAGUGAGCUCACCACCUCAUUUACAGGGAGAAAAACGGGAUGAAGAGGCCCAGGAAUAUGAAAUGAACCAUCUCCAAGAGCUGUAAUACACAGUUUCACAAAAAAACACCAGAAAAAGAGUAUAAAUUUCUACACAGAAACCUGACAGGACUCCCUAGCAAGAUAUUGUGAGACACUUGAAUGACUCUGAUUAAAGGGAGAUUAAUUAGCUGAACAGAAGGCAUGGAAGCAAGAAACGCAAAACACGGAGCAACUGAUUUAAGGAAGAGGUUUACUGGCCAGAAGAAAAACAGAAAAGAAAUAUGCAAAAAUAAGUCACAGGGUAAUCUAAAUAUUUCCUUUCUGACUGGGCUAGAGAAGCUAAUGGGUGGUGGAAAGGGAGAUCUCUGGCAUGUGAAAACACUUGUCCUGCAUCCCUGUGAGCCAGGUCGGUAGCAGGGAGA